CUAAUACAUGCAUGUCGAACGAAGCACUUGUGCUUAGUGGCAAAUGGGUGAGUAACACGUACUUAAUCUACCCCCAAGUUUGGGAUAACAGUUGGAAACAAUUGCUAAUACCAAAUACAUAUAAGUUUUGCAUAAUUCUUAUAUAAAAGGAGCGUUUGUUUCGCUAGGGGAUGAGAGUGCGCUACAUUAGUUAGUUGGUAGGGUAAGAGCCUACCAAGACUAUGAUGUAUAGCGGGGCUGAGAAGCUGAACCGCCACACUGGGACUGAGAUACGGCCCAGACUCCUACGGGAGGCAGCAGUAGGGAAUAUUCCACAAUGAGCGAAAGCUUGAUGGAGCAACACAGCGUGCAGGAAGACGACCUUAGGGUUGUAAACUGCUGUUAUGAGGGAAGAAAAAUAAAAUUAGGAAAUGAAUUUUACAUGACGGUACCUCAUCAGAAAGCACCGGCAAACUAUGUGCCAGCAGCCGCGGUAAUACAUAGGGUGCAAGCGUUAUCCGGAAUUAUUGGGCGUAAAGUGUCUGUAGGUGGUAUGUUAAGUCUAGUGUUAAAGACUAGG
rnacentral:rRNA from 1 species